UCUGUCAAUGAUGAUGAAUUAACAGUUUUACUUGAGUUUAACGACCAUGAGAAAACUCACAUGCACUACCAUCUGAGACAGG
ensembl:snoRNA SNORD33 Small nucleolar RNA Z195/SNORD33/SNORD32 family